UUUCCGUUGGUGAACCAGCGGAAGGAUAAUUACAGAGAUCAUGCCCUCUAAGGGUAGACAUCCCACCCUGUGUUAAUACCCUUGUUGCUUUGGCAGGCCGCCUUCGGGCUCUCGGCUCCGGCUGAGGUGCGCCUGCCAGAGGACCCCAACUCUGUGUUUAGUGUCGUCUGAGUACUAUAUAAUUAGUUAAAACUUUCAACAACGGAUCUCUUGGUUCUGGCAUCGAUGAAGAACGCAGC
rnacentral:misc_RNA from 1 species